rnacentral:rRNA from 1 species
CUAGCUGUAUCGCAGAGUAGCUACGUGCGGAAUAGAUAAGCGCUGAAAGCAUCUAAGCGCGAAACUAGUCUCAAGAUGAGUUUUCCUUUAAGGGUCGUAGAAGACUACUACGUUGAUAGGCUACAGAUGUAAAUACAGUAAUGUAUGAGUCGAGUAGUACUAAUUACCCGUAGACUUACCUUUA